CCUACGGGUGGCAGCAGUGGGGAAUAUUGCACAAUGGGGGAAACCCUGAUGCAGCGACGCCGCGUGAGCGAAGAAGUAUUUCGGUAUGUAAAGCUCUAUCAGCAGGGAAGAAAAUUACGGUACCUGAGUAAGAAGCUCCGGCCAAAUACGUGCCAGCAGCCCCGUUAAAACGUAUGGAGCAAGCGUUAUCCGGAUUUACUGGGCGUAAAGGGAGCGUAGGCGGCCUGCCAAGUCUGGUGUUAAAUACCCGGGCUAAACCGCGGAGCUGCAGUGGAAACUGGCAGGCUGGAGUGCCGGAGAGGCAGGCGGAAUGCCUGGUGUAGCGGUGAAAUGCGUAGAUAUUAGGAGGAACACCAGUGGCGAAGGCAGCUUGCUGGUCGGUGACUGACGCUGAGGCACGAAAGCGUGGGGAGCAAACAGGAUUAGAUACCCGGGUAGUC
rnacentral:rRNA from 1 species